rnacentral:rRNA from 1 species
AUUGAACGCUGGCGGCAUGCCUUACACAUGCAAGUCGAACGGCAGCACAGGUGCUUGCACCUGGUGGCGAGUGGCGAACGGGUGAGUAAUAUAUCGGAACGUACCUUAUUGUGGGGGAUAACGCAGCGAAAGCUGUGCUAAUACCGCAUAAUCCCUAAGGGGGAAAGCGGGGGACCGUAAGGCCUCGCGCAAUUAGAGCGGCCGAUACCUGAUUAGCUAGUUGGAGAGGUAAAGGCUCACCAAGGCAACGAUCAGUAGCUGGUCUGAGAGGACGAUCAGCCACACUGGGACUGAGACACGGCCCAGACUCCUACGGGAGGCAGCAGUGGGGAAUUUUGGACAAUGGGGGCAACCCUGAUCCAGCAAUGCCGCGUGAGUGAAGAAGGCCUUCGGGUUGUAAAGCUCUUUUGUCAGGGAAGAAACAGCAGCUCUAACACAGUUUGCGAAUGACGGUACCUGAAGAAUAAGCACCGGCUAACUACGUGCCAGCCGCCGCUGUAA